GUGACUGCGUACCUUUUGUAUAAUGGGUCAGCGACUUAUAUUCUGUAGCAAGGUUAACCGAAUAGGGGAGCCGGAGGGAAACCGAGUCUUAAUUGGGCGUUAAGUUGCAGGGUAUAGACCCGAAACCCGGUGAUCUAGCCAUGGGCAGGUUGAAGGUUGGGUAACACUAACUGGAGGACCGAACCGACUAAUGUUGAAAAAUUAGCGGAUGACCUGUGGCUGGGGGUGAAAGGCCAAUCAAACCGGGAGAUAGCUGGUUCUCCCCGAAAGCUAUUUAGGUAGCGCCUCGUGAAUUCAUCUCCGGGGGUAGAGCACUGUUUCGGCUAGGGGGCCAUCCCGGCUUACCAACCCGAUGCAAACUGCGAAUACCGGAGAAUGUUAUCACGGGAGACACACGGCGGGUGCUAACGUCCGUCGUGAAGAGGGAAACAACCCAGACCGCCAGCUAAGGUCCCAAAGUCAUGGUUAAGUGGGAAACGAUGUGGGAAGGCCCAGACAGCCAGGAUGUUGGCUUAGAAGCAGCCAUCAUUUAAAGAAAGCGUAAUAGCUCACUGGUCGAGUCGGCCUGCGCGGAAGAUGUAACGGGGCUAAACCAUGCACCGAAGCUGCGGCAGCGACACUCAGGUGUUGUUGGGUAGGGGAGCGUUCUGUAAGCCUGCGAAGGUGGCCUGUGAGGGUUGCUGGAGGUAUCAGAAGUGCGAAUGCUGACAUAAGUAACGAUAAAGCGGGUGAAAAGCCCGCUCGCCGGAAGACCAAGGGUUCCUGUCCAACGUUAAUCGGGGCAGGGUGAGUCGACCCCUAAGGCGAGGCCGAAAGGCGUAGUCGAUGGGAAACGGGUUAAUAUUCCCGUACUUGGUGUUACUGCGAAGGGGGGACGGAGAAGGCUAUGUUGGCCGGGCGACGGUUGUCCCGGUUUAAGCGUGUAGGUGUGUGUUCCAGGUAAAUCCGGUUCACUUUAACACUGAGGCGUGACGACGAGGCACUACGGUGCUGAAGCAACAAAUGCCCUGCUUCCAGGAAAAGCCUCUAAGCAUCAGGUAACAUCAAAUCGUACCCCAAACCGACACAGGUGGUCAGGUAGAGAAUACCAAGGCGCUUGAGAGAACUCGGGUGAAGGAACUAGGCAAAAUGGUGCCGUAACUUCGGGAGAAGGCACGCUGACAUGUAGGUGAAGUGAUUUACUCAUGGAGCUGAAGUCAGUCGAAGAUACCAGCUGGCUGCAACUGUUUAUUAAAAACACAGCACUGUGCAAACACGAAAGUGGACGUAUACGGUGUGACGCCUGCCCGGUGCCGGAAGGUUAAUUGAUGGGGUCAGCGCAAGCGAAGCUCCUGAUCGAAGCCCCGGUAAACGGCGGCCGUAACUAUAACGGUCCUAAGGUAGCGAAAUUCCUUGUCGGGUAAGUUCCGACCUGCACGAAUGGCGUAAUGAUGGCCAGGCUGUCUCCACCCGAGACUCAGUGAAAUUGAACUCGCUGUGAAGAUGCAGUGUACCCGCGGCAAGACGGAAAGACCCCGUGAACCUUUACUAUAGCUUGACACUGAACAUUGAGCCUUGAUGUGUAGGAUAGGUGGGAGGCUUUGAAGUGUGGACGCCAGUCUGCAUGGAGCCGACCUUGAAAUACCACCCUUUAAUGUUUGAUGUUCUAACGUGGACCCGUGAUCCGGGUUGCGGACAGUGUCUGGUGGGUAGUUUGACUGGGGCGGUCUCCUCCUAAAGAGUAACGGAGGAGCACGAAGGUUGGCUAAUCCUGGUCGGACAUCAGGAGGUUAGUGCAAUGGCAUAAGCCAGCUUGACUGCGAGCGUGACGGCGCGAGCAGGUGCGAAAGCAGGUCAUAGUGAUCCGGUGGUUCUGAAUGGAAGGGCCAUCGCUCAACGGAUAAAAGGUACUCCGGGGAUAACAGGCUGAUACCGCCCAAGAGUUCAUAUCGACGGCGGUGUUUGGCACCUCGAUGUCGGCUCAUCACAUCCUGGGGCUGAAGUAGGUCCCAAGGGUAUGGCUGUUCGCCAUUUAAAGUGGUACGCGAGCUGGGUUUAGAACGUCGUGAGACAGUUCGGUCCCUAUCUGCCGUGGGCGCUGGAGAACUGAGGGGGGCUGCUCCUAGUACGAGAGGACCGGAGUGGACGCAUCACUGGUGUUCGGGUUGUCAUGCCAAUGGCACUGCCCGGUAGCUAAAUGCGGAAGAGAUAAGUGCUGAAAGCAUCUAAGCACGAAACUUGCCCCGAGAUGAGUUCUCCCUGAGACUUUAGGUCUCCUGAAGGAACGUUGAAGACGACGACGUUGAUAGGCCGGGUGUGUAAGCGCAGCGAUGCGUUGAGCUAACCGGUACUAAUGAACCGUGAGGCUUAACCUUAC
rnacentral:rRNA from 1 species